rnacentral:tRNA from 1 species
GCAUUGGUGGUUCAGUGAUAGAAUUCUCACCUUCCAUGUGGGAAAUCUGGGUUCAGUUCCAGGCCAAUACA